rnacentral:tRNA from 1 species
AGUUAUUCACUUAUAAAAGUAUUAUGUCUUGAAAACAUAUAAAAGAGGUUGAAUUCCUCUAAUAACUU